rnacentral:tRNA from 2 species
GCCUCAUUGGCUCAGCCCGAUAGCGCGAGUGACUUGAAUCACUAGGUCGCGUGUUCAAAUCACUCACGAGGCU